CCCUCCACGCGGGGCAGGUCCCUCCGAAGCUCACUUUGUCCAGGCAGGGCUGAGCCGUGCCCCGGCGCGCAGCUGGCGUACGAGGGGCGCGGGGAAGCGGGAGGGAGCUGUGUUCCUUCCUCCCUCCUUCCGUGGGAUGCUUAUUUGAACGCGGCUCGCCCUAGAGCACUGACAGCCUCUUCAUUCUAAGGAAUCCGCUUUACUUUCGGCUCUAAGGGAAGCAGGCGACAAGAGACUGUGCUAAACACUCGGAAAGCACUCAGGCACCAGCUUUAUGCAAGUGGCAGAAAUCCGUACUGUUAGCGCUGCAAGUGCUUAAAACAAUUCUGAUGGCCCACCUGGGACAUACUAGCAGUUUACACGAGUGACAAUUGCAAUGUGAAGACAAUAUCCAGAUGAAACGUACAGAGACAGAAACACAACCAUAUGCAUUGCCAGGAAAAUGGUUUAAAAAAAUAACAAUAAAAAUUCAGUGAAGCAAUAGAGGGACUGGCUGAUUAUUUUGCUCUUCAGUAGCCAGCAUCCACCCUUAGCCCGAGUCCCUGAUUUUCCAGGAGGAGCAAGAGUCUCGGUGUUACUUCUUUUUCAUCAGCUGCUUAAAAUUUAAGGCUCAGUCAAGCAAACAGCAAUGCAGAAGCAAUCUGGAGGGGCUCGGUGGAUUCAAGAAAACCGUCAAAUGGAAAAUCCUGCCUCGCAGCCCUCAGCUGCCCAUGCUAAUUGCUUUUGCAGUGCUUUGAGAGAAUCCUAGAGGCAGCAAGUGCAAUUAAGAGCCUGCCAAGGAAGGAGCAGGCAGCUGGAUUGUCCUGCCCAGCCCCUGCCCUCCCCGCCUGCCACAGGGGCACGGGGCAGCUGCUCCCGCCUGAGACACCAGGACCUUUCAGGAGGCUUCGUGCAGUACCUGAAUGUCACCAACAACCCACCAUUAAAUGAGAUUGAAGUGUUUUCCAGCAAUUGAGUCACGA